GUCUCAUCGUCCAAAAAACCGGUUCCCACCGGCCUCCUCCCACCUCCACGCAUGCGCAGAAUCCCGCGAUUAGCUCCACCUUCAUUUCCAUCCGCAUCGAUCCCAUCCGGACGACGCCUCCAUCCCCUUCCUCACGAUCUGCAUCGUCCUCCCUCCCUCCACCGCCCCCUUCCAGCGCCGCAGACUUCCCUGCAACGCCCCCUCAUCCUCAUCCGUGCUGCUGCCCCAUUCGUCCCUCCGCCUUCCUCGCGAGGACACGCCGGCGCUGCCGCCUCCCUCCCUCCCUUCGCCUUCCUCGCGAUGACGCGCCGCCGCCGCCUGCCUCUUCCUCCCUGCCUCCUCUUGAUCCGCAGCGCCGCCUCCCUCCCGCUUCCUCGCAGGCCCAGCCGGCCCGAAUCAAAACCGAACCGAUCUGGGUGCUCCCCGCAUCCGCAUCCGCAUCCGCCUGCCUGCAUCGCCGCCGCUGACGACGCCUGCUGGUAUCCCGCAACGCCUCCCUUGCAGCCGCUGCCACCUGCAGCAGCAUAGAAGGAGGUUCGAGGGGAAGGAACGAAAGUGGAGAGGAUCGAUUUCUUCAGGCUGGAAGAUUGGUUUGUGCUCAUGGCGACCGGACAGAGUGCCAGCAUCUGCCUUACCAUCCGCCCGAGUGCUUGUGUCUGCCUCACCGCCGGAUACCUCCUCAAUCCACAUCUCUGGUAAGGUAGCAUGACGGAUUCCCCCUGUAUAUGUGUUUUUUUUUCUAUAUAUAUUUGUGCAAAAGAUUGAUGCAGGUUGCAGUUUCCUGAUGUGACGCCAAUGGUUCUUUGCUCUGUGCAAAGUUAGCAUUACAGGCAGAAAUACUCUUUUGCUCUGAUAUUAAUUAAUGGUGUAUGCAGUUUUCCUUUUGCCAUUCACGGCUGGUGUGAAAUGUAAAAACGGAGAAUAUAGAUUGUGAUAUCUGGAUUGUUCUCUCUCUCUCUCUCUUUGGAAGAUAAGACCGCAACUUAACCAACUGAAUGCUACAGGGUAGGGUGAAUUGGGAUCCAGGUUCUAAAAAGACAAAUAAAUAAAUUUGAGAGUUCCAUAAUUUUUAUUUCAGUAGGUUUAUUCUAUUGAGAAAUUUCUUAAGGAGGACGAGACAUUUGAUGUUAGCUUUGUCAUGGAUAUCAAACACCGGAUGUGGACAGAAAUACCCGAGGUGGCUGUAUAAUUUGCAGGUAUGUGGAUUGGCUGAAUAUAUUUCUUCAAUUGUUCUAAGAAAGAAAUCGGAAGACUCCUUUUGGGGCAAAUGCAGGGGAAAUUUCCUGAAGCGUGCAACAGCGACCUGUAUGUCAACAGCAAGUUGAGUUACAAAUACUGAUUGCAAAUAGCUAACUUUUAUUUGGUUGAGUGAUUUCUUUAUUUUGCUUCAGGAUCCUAAUCCUAAUGUUAGGGAGAAUAUCCAAAAGAAGGAUCUUGUGUAAUGAAACCAACAAUUGUUCAUCUAUUGCUUAGUUAUGUCUUUGCGCAUUUUUGUAGCUUGUUCUGUAACUGACUGACACAACAAAGAUAUUCAUGUUGGCUAAACAGACUUUGAUUUUAACUGGACUUUUAAGGAACUCUGGAUUUGUUUGUCCAAAUAAUAUAAUAGUAGUGGAGGCUUGAUUUAUAGAAAAAUAACAGGCUUAUUGUACUGAAAAGCAUUUCUUUCAUUUUUAUAGAAAAAGAUGCAUGUUCUGCAUUUAAUAAAGCACGUGGUCAGCACAUUGUUUAUGUUUAUCUCACCAUAUUUUUUUCCAUUUCAGGUUAAUUGAAGGGGUGGUACGUUCUGUGAAUAACCUGCCCGUGAAGUUCCAUCAAUCAUUUUUCCUCUAUUUCCUUGCAGCUCCAAGCAAAUUCGUUUCAGUUGGUGUGGAUAUGAUUCCUUUUGCACUGCUUUUGGCACCCCCCCCCCCCCCCCCCCCCCAAUAGUUGCUGCUGCUCUUGCUGACAGUAAAACCAAGGGAAAAUCAUUGGAUGACAGUAAAACUAAGGAUAGUGCUGAUAAAAUGCAAACUUAGGGUGGAUCUUGGAAAUGGCUUCGGGCUGCAAGAGUAUUGCUUGUUAUCCAGUUUUGGGCAGUGAUUGUUUCAUUACUACCAUAUUACAUAAGUCAAAUUCCUGAUGGUACACCAAAACAAAGUGAAGUGAUUUGGGUGGUGCUCUCCAUUAUUAUACUGAUCAUCCUGUACACCAUGUUUGGCUCACCAUACUCCACUGGUGUUGAAUGGAAACUUCUAAAAGUAAGAGAAUCAACGAUGGCGAGAGAUAGGAAGGAAGCAAGAUAAUGACACCGGGUUUGAUUUUCACUAGACAUAUUUUUAUUGGCCACUACGUUUAAGAAAUAAAAUAACCAUGUGAUCGAAAUGCCUAUACAAAUAUAUUUUCUUAUCGUUCCGUAGCAA